rnacentral:rRNA from 1 species
AUGAACGCUGGCGGCGUGCCUAAUACAUGCAAGUCGAGCGAACAGACGAGGAGCUUGCUCCUCUGACGUAGCGGCGGACGGGUGAGUAACACGUGGAUAACCUACCUAUAAGACUGGGAUAACUUCGGGAAACCGGAGCUAAUACCGGAUAAUAUAUUUAACCGCAUGGUUCAAUAGUGAAAGACGGUUUUGCUGUCACUUAUAGAUGGAUCCGCGCCGCAUUAGCUAGUUGGUAAGGUAACGGCUUACCAAGGCAACGAUGCGUAGCCGACCUGAGAGGGUGAUCGGCCACACUGGAACUGAGACACGGUCCAGACUCCUACGGGAGGCAGCAGUAGGGAAUCUUCCGCAAUGGGCGAAAGCCUGACGGAGCAACGCCGCGUGAGUGAUGAAGGUCUUCGGAUCGUAAAACUCUGUUAUUAGGGAAGAACAAAUGUGUAAGUAACUAUGCACGUCUUGACGGUACCUAAUCAGAAAGCCACGGCUAACUACGUG